AGCGAACGCUGGCGGCAUGCUUAACACAUGCAAGUCGCACGGGCGGGGGCAACUCCGUCAGUGGCGGACGGGUGAGUAACGCGUAGGAAUCUAUCCUUGAAUGGGGGACAACCGUGGGAAACUACGGCUAAUACCGCAUGAUGCCUGAGGGCCAAAGACGAAAGUCGUUUGAGGAGGAGCCUGCGUCUGAUUAGGUAGUUGGUGGGGUAAAGGCCCUACCCAAGCCUGCGAUCAGUAGCGUGGUCGUGAGAGGAUGAUCGGCCACAUUGGGACUGAGACACGGCCCAAACUCCUACGGGAGGCAGCAGUGGGGAAUAUUGGACAAUGGGCGCAAGCCUAAUCCAGCAAUGCCGCGUGGGUGAAGAAGGUCUUCGGAUUGUAAAGCCCUUUUGGCGGGGACGAUGAUGACGGUACCCGCAGAAUAAGCUCCGGCUAACUUCGUG
rnacentral:rRNA from 1 species